ACAUGUAUUUUCAGUAUUGAAAUUGGAACUAUAUAGAGAAGAUUAGCAUAACCCCUGCAAAAGUAUGCCACAGAAAUUCAUGAUGUGUUUCAUAGUUUG
ensembl:snRNA U6 U6 spliceosomal RNA